rnacentral:lncRNA from 1 species
GAGGAUUAAAUAAGCUAACAAAUAGAUUAAGCAGAACAGAAUUCCCUACCCAAGAAGAAGAGAAUAAGCUUUUCUGUACGUUACCAUGCUAGAUUCAUACAACAUUAAGUGUAAGCUUAUUUUUCACAGGUAAGAAAUAAUGAUUAAUAGGACAAAUGAUGUUAUAAGAGAAAUGUUGCCUGACUGACUAUAGAAGGUCAAGAAGAAAAUGAGGUAUUGAAUAAAGCUCAUGAGGAAAUCAUCUUAGUUAAAAUACUAAAACCUCUUGCCUAAAAUCCUUAGCACUCUUCAGAUGCAAAGAAUUAAAAACAUAAAGAUGUGAAAAUACUCAUAGGGGCAUUGUAUCUUAUUGUAAAAGACGAUCUGGGGCGAAAACUGAAGUAAUUGGAAAUAAAACCUUCUCUAUCCUUGCUGUCCUUUCCUCUCCCCCAAUUACCAAGGUGAAAAAGCAACUUCAAGUUUCACAGCAGGGUCUUUGGGUUUCCCUCCUCAGGGGAAAAAAUGUAAACAAUAUUUCCAUAACUCGGGCAAAGAAAGAUGGAUCAAAAGAGAGCCCAGCUUGGCUAAAAUGUCUGGAGGCAUGUAGGUAUGUUGGAAAAUGGUUGCUAGAAAAGGGACCUAGAAAGUGUUGGCGUUUGAAAUGAUGAGAAGCAGCACUGCUGUCAAAUUUAUUCAACAUUUUAAUACUGUUUUAAAAUGUUUAUUAAGCACCCACCGCGUGAAGCACACAGCACACUAGUCAGCGUUAAGUCAGUCUUCUAGGCUCAGUGGGGGAAAUCCAGACAAAAUGGAAGAUGAGGUGUUUGUCUUCCAGGUGCUGACAAUCAAGCAGUACAGAAAGAACGGGCAGAAAUGGUAAUAUUUGCAAAGUAGUCUAAUGUCCAGAUGAAUAUAGAGCAAAAUGGACUCAUGAGAAUGCAGGCUGAGGGAAUGUAGAAUAAAUGAACACAAGACGAGUUACUCAGACUCAAUUUUAAAGGAGAAAAAAAAAAAAAAGGAAAUUCUGACUUGUUCAAAGGUGUUUUGAAAUAUUAAGAAAAUAAUACAAUAGGCCGGGCGCGGUGGCUCAAGCCUGUAAUCCCAGCACUUUGGGAGGCCGAGACGGGCGGAUCACGAGGUCAGGAGAUCGAGACCAUCCUGGCUAACACGGUGAAACCCCGUCUCUACUAAAAAAAUACAAAAAACUAGCCGGGUGAGGUGGCGCCUGUAGUCCCAGCUACUCGGGAGGCUGAGGCAGGAGAAUGGCGGGAAUCCAGGAGGCGGAGCUUGCAGUGAGCUGAGAUCCGGCCACUGCACUCCA